ACUCCUACGGGAGGCAGCAGUGGGGAAUAUUGCACAAUGGGGGAAACCCUGAUGCAGCCAUGCCGCGUGUGUGAAGAAGGCCUUCGGGUUGUAAAGCACUUUCAGUAGGGAGGAAGGUAGUGUAGUUAACACCUGCAUUAUUUGACGUUACCUACAGAAGAAGCACCGGCUAACUCCGUGCCAGCAGCCGCGGUAAUACGGAGGGUGCGAGCGUUAAUCGGAAUUACUGGGCGUAAAGCGCAUGCAGGCGGCCUGUUAAGUCAGAUGUGAAAGCCCGGGGCUUAACCUCGGAAUUGCAUUUGAAACUGGCAGGCUAGAGUCUUGUAGAGGGGUUAGAAUUUCAGGUGUAGCGGUGAAAUGCGUAGAGAUCUGAAGGAAUACCAGUGGCGAAGCGGCCCCCUGGACAAAGACUGACGCUCAGAUGCGAAAGCGUGGGAGCAAACAGGAUUAGAUACCCCUGCUAGACUGUCA
rnacentral:rRNA from 1 species